rnacentral:lncRNA from 1 species
CCACACCGGUGCUCUAAGAUGAUUCCAAAAUGUUUUCGGAUUCUGGAAUCUCCCGGCCUACCUCCCAUCUGGAGGACAAUGGCUUCACAGGCAGGAAGGAUUCCAUGGGAACAGAGAGCAGUCCGCGCCUCUCUCCUUCCCUUCCUGCCUGGGCCAUCUCCCAGGACCCCUGACAGUUUCACCUCCCACACAGGCUUCACAGAGAGAGGACCCUGCCCACACCCCGGCUGCUUCAAGCCCGACCUGACGCCUUCCUGUGACCUGCGAAUACGACUUCCUAGACAAGGGUGGGGAUGGCUGUUUGCCAUCUAAAUCUUGAAAAGUACUUUUGGCUUAUCGGGUCAACUUGACCAGAAUGCACGAAUGAUCAAGGAGUCGCCCAGGUGUGCACCCCGGUCACAAGAGUGAUGCUCAAGGACUCUCCAAAGGAGGCAGGCUUGUGUGGACCCCAGAGGGACUCCUGAUCAGAAAUUGCAGAUGAAAUUUCUUACGGGUAGAGUUUAAAAUCGCUCAGGAAAAGCACUCAGAAAGAGUUGCAAGAUCAUGGAGUGAAUUCCAAGUGCUUUGUGCCUUGAGAGCACUGAACCGAUAAGGUGAUAAGAAUAAUGGUUGGAGACCAGGUGUAAUUCUUCAAGUCUCAAAGGAAAUCACAGAAAAUUUCCAUUUUGGCAGCUGAGAUAAAAAUGAUCAAGGAAGAAGAGGUUUUGUCUGUUUUGUGUUCUAGCCCUUUAGAUAGAGUGGCUCAUUGCUUCCUAGUCAUGGGGAGCUGGAGUCAAUGCGGAAUGGGUUACCGGCCCCUCUCCUGUUGCUUCCAGAGUGUGGUUAUAUUGCAGAACAACGAAGCAACAUGCCUGCAAACUUACUGCAGCAAGCUAUCACCAGGUAAAAUGAUUUGGUGUGCAGUUUCUAUAGAGACACUCAUCCCCAUCAGAAGGACUGUGUUGCUGACGUUUUAGAUUGGCCCCAAUUUCCCUUAUGUAGCGUGAAAAUGCUUUGCUCUU